AGAUAAUAUAGAAGACAGCGCGCUAGCGUAUCUAGUCUGUGUGUAUCUAUGGUCGGAACGUCUGGUAGCAUCUCUGGCUGCUGUUGACCUUGUUUUUGGAGUAAAACACGGUGGAAGCUGAAUUAGUGAGGAUGACUCCUGCUCCUGUCAUCUCUAAGCUCCUCACACAUCUUUACCUGCACAUGAGGAAAAUCACUCCUGUAGAAUGCAGUGGUUCAUCAGAACCUCUGGGGAUGUCCUGUGGAUCCUGUGGAUCCUGUGGGUUGCAGGGUGGGUCCUACCUAGACCAGACUGAUCCUGGACCAUCCCACAGAUGCUCCAUCAGAUCUGGAUGUGGGGAGUGUGGAACCCAGAUGUUCAGAGGGAGAUGAUGCCACAUCUGGUCCAGCUGAUGGAAGGUCUUGAAGUUCUCUGACUGGCCUCAACUGAAGAUGGUCGUCUCACUGGAUUUAAGGUUCAGAUGCUCAGUAACAAACUCCACCAAUGAGCCAACAGGGAAGCUUUAGGUUUAUUAAAUGUUGCUAUGAAGGUAUCGCUGUUUUUCUUUGUGAAUGCAAUGUGCUCCAACUGAAACUUGAAUUAGAACUUAGAAGUAAAUCCUUCCAUCUGACAGGAUUUAGUUGCAUUAAUAACCUCAUAACAUUCUAAUUUUUAUUCCAGUCUUGGUUGGAAAUAGAAUCUCUGUAUUGAUUCAGGUAAAAACUGAACUUCACAGCAUGUUGGAGCAAAACAACCAGAUGAAAACUGAUGGUGUUGGAUUGUCAGACUGUAAUGUUGCAGCUCACAGCAGCUUUUCUAGCUCAGUUCAUUCUGACAUUCAGCUAUGAAUCAACACAGCAGAUGGUGAUCCAUGCUGUGGAAGUCUCACAUCUCCUGAUUUAAUGGAGCUGCUUUGCACUUUUUACACUGUUUAUUCACCAACACUUUAUUUAAUAAAAGUCCCAUCUAGUUUUUAUGAGGAAUGUGAUGUUUUAAUUUCUCUGUGAAUAACUGCAGUCUAAUGCAACAGCUGGAGUUGUAACAUCUGUCCUGAUAUUGAUCAUGAAGUAUUGAUCAGAAUACUUAUGGUUAGCAGUCAUCCCUGUAGUUUUACAUUAAAAUCUUUACUUGUGUUGUGAACUUUGGCAAGAAGCAGAAACGUUAGCGUUGCCAUGGAUACAUGAGUGUUAAAUUCUGUCCAUGUUUCCAUUUUGGGAAAUUCAGUCCAGUUCCAGAAUGUGGAGGAAUUUAGUCUCAAUCACAGACAACAAAUAUUAUCUGAAAGUCGGGUUAUUGUUGUUUAUCAGCACAAUACAAAAAGAUUAAUGUCAGAAAUAUUCCAGUUAAGACUCUAGAAUAUCAUGAUUUAUGUAAAUGUACCUCAAUAAUAUGAAUGUUCAGGUUAAGAUUGUACAGUGAUAUUUAUUAUGUAAGUUUAGCUGAUUAAAGUUUAUGACUCUGCACUAAAAUAUUAUUUAAAUUAACAUCAUUAUUAUAAUAUUUAGAGUCAGACCCUACAGUAUUGAGGUUAAGAAAUCAAAUAUUCUAUAAAAUGUAAAUACACUGAACUCAUUUGGAUAUAUUUAAGUGAGACUCUACAAUAUUAUUUGACACAAAUCUAUCUAAAUCAAAAUUUUAAUACUUUUCACGCCAAACACUUACUGGACUGAUUUAAAUAUUAAAAUCACUCCUUUCUAAUCCUCUGCUGUACGUUCAAACCUGAGGCCUUAAAUAGAAACACACAAGUAUCUGAUUGUAGGAACUUCUGCAGAGUCCUGGUUCCAGAACAUGAUGAUAAAAUUAUAGACAAACUUUAACAAAAGCUGCCUGAGAGUUUACAGGUUUUUAUGUUAGAUUUCUUCAGUAAUUUAUUGAGAGUUAUCAGCAAUAAUCAAGUGAUCAUUUGAUGAACUUCAUUUACUAAAACAUCCAGAAUUGGAGCUCAUAUCUUUGGCAGCUGUAAAGUUUCUGCUCCUUCAAAGUUCACAACACAAUGAAUGAAUUCCUAAAACACUCUCAAUGCUGGAGAGCGUUUGUGAUGCUGAAGCAGUGACCAAUUUUUCUGUUUCUUCUCUGGAGAUGCACAAUGAGGGACGUCUGCAGCGACUGAGAAAGAGUCUCACCACAUCCUGACAUGAGGAAAAAGACUUUAUUGAAGACUACAAUGAGAAAAACUAUCAGACAGCAGACGGCUGCAUUCAAGGCUACAGGAGGAGUCCUACGAGGACGAGCAGGUCCACCUGAUGGCGGCCAGUCGCUGUGGUUCAAAGCCAACACUGACUACGUGGACUUCUACUGGACCACACGGAGGCCUUCAAACCGGAACAACAAGUUCACCGACUCCCCGACUCGUGGGUCUGAGGACACCGCCGAGCCUCAGUCCAGCCGGCCUCCUUUCUGUGGGUGUUUGAGUGCUGAGAGGUUUGUGGAUGCGUGUGAACGUGUCUGUGUUGAAACAGCAGCUUUUGACUCAGGCCUUGUCCACACGUAGCCGGGUAUCUCACAAAACGAAGAUAUUUUUCUACGAUUCGGCUUAUCAUCCACACGAAAACGCAGAUUUACGUCAUCAAAAACGAUUCAUUUUAAAAACUCCGACCAAAGUGAAG
ensembl:lncRNA